rnacentral:siRNA from 1 species
CCCGGCGCCGGCAAGCAGGAGCCC